UACGUAGGGUGCAAGCGUUGUCCGGAAUUAUUGGGCGUAAAGAGCUCGUAGGCGGUCUGUCGCGUCUGCUGUGAAAACUCAGGGCUUAACCCUGAGCUUGCAGUGGGUACGGGCAGACUAGGGUGCGGUAGGGGAGACUGGAAUUCCUGGUGUAGCGGUGAAAUGCGCAGAUAUCAGGAGGAACACCAAUAGCGAAGGCAGCUCGCUGGGACGUUACUGACGCUGAGGCGCGAAAGCGUGGGGAGCGAACAGG
rnacentral:rRNA from 1 species